rnacentral:lncRNA from 1 species
GACGAGGGCGGAACGUAGGCAGGCAAGAGGCGGAGCCCGGGCCUGAGGCACCAGUCUGUGGGCGGUGCUUGUUGCUCGAGAGUGGUGCAAUAACUGAAGGAUAAACUUAACAAAGUGCAGGAACUCCCAGUAGGGGGCGCGCUGUGCCCUAGCUAGGUGAAAGUGAGACUCAAAGAUUUGUUGGGCCAAAGUUUUUACUUUGAAGAUUACCAGCUAGAAGCAGCUGAUCAUAAUCAUGUUCUGCUUUGAAGUGCGUGCUUUACCCUCCACUAGAAUUGAUAUUUUGUUUUUAUCUUUUCAUUUUCGUGAUUGGAAGGUUUUUUGUGGUUACUGGUAUUGUAGGUUGGCAGAGUGCUGGCUCCCCAUCAGUGAGUCCUGGCACUACUGACUUUGGAUCUGUGGGCAGUAUUUGGAUCAAUAGCAGUAUUGUUGCCGAUUGAAAAUUCAGGGAGACACACACACAUGUACCCCAGGUGCUGAGGACUGAACACAUGGACUCACACAUCAUACAUGGGUAAGCUCUCCCAUCUACCACCUAGCUUCAGGUUUGUCAGCCAUCUCUC